rnacentral:tRNA from 1 species
UNAAAGAGAUAGGAGUUGAACCUACGUCUAA